UACAGAGGGGGCAAGCGUUGUUCGGAAUUACUGGGCGUAAAGGGCGCGUAGGCGGCCACCGCAAGUCGACUGUGAAAUCUCCGGGCUUAACCCGGAAAGGUCAGCCGAUACUGCGGGGCUAGAGUGCAGAAGGGGCAAUCGGAAUUCUUGGUGUAGCGGUGAAAUGCGUAGAUAUCAAGAGGAACACCUGAGGUGAAGACGGGUUGCUGGGCUGACACUGACGUGAGGCGCGAAAGCCAGGGGAGCAAACGGG
rnacentral:rRNA from 1 species